UACUCGAGUGGCGAACGGGUGAGUAACACGUGGGUGAUCUGCCUUGCACUCUGGGAUAAGCUUGGGAAACUGGGUCUAAUACCGGAUAGGAACCGUCUUUAGUGUGGUGGUUGGAAAGUUUUUUCGGUGCAAGAUGAGCUCGCGGCCUAUCAGCUUGUUGGUGGGGUAAUGGCCUACCAAGGCGUCGACGGGUAGCCGGCCUGAGAGGGUGUACGGCCACAUUGGGACUGAGAUACGGCCCAG
rnacentral:rRNA from 1 species